AUGUUCUCUACAUCUCUACUGCUCCUGCUGGCAGCUGCUUCCUAUGUGCAUGGUGUGGAACUGACUCAGCCUGCUUCCAUAACAGUCCAGCCAGGCCAGAGUCUCUCCAUCAACUGCAAGGUUUCAUAUUCAGUUACAGGCUAUUAUACAGCUUUUAUCCGACAACCUCCAGGGAAAACUCUGGAGUGGAUUGGAUAUAUUGCUGGUUCGAGUACAGCUUACAGUGACAAACUGAAAAAUAAGUUCAGUCUCUCCACUGACACGUCUACUAACACAGUAACAAUUCGAGGACAGAACAUGCAGACUGAAGACACAGCUGUGUAUUACUGCGCUCGUUACCCCACAGUGAUACACUUCACCAACAUCCCUGUACAAAAACAUCCUGUACAGUGUACAUUAUAA